rnacentral:rRNA from 1 species
CCUACGUGAGGCAGCAGUAGGGAAUCUUCCACAAUGGGCGAAAGCCUGAUGGAGCAACGCCGCGUGGGUGAAGAAGGUCUUCGGAUCGUAAAACCCUGUUGUUAGAUAAGAACGUGCGUGAGAGUAACUGUUCACGUUUCGACGGUAUCUAACCAGAAAGCCACGGCUAACUACGUGCCAGCAGCCGCGGUAAUACGUAGGUGGCAAGCGUUAUACGGAUUUAUUGGGCGUAAAGGGAACGCAGGCGGUCUUUUAAGUCUGAUGUGAAAGCCUUCGGCUUAACCGGAGUAGUGCAUUGGAAACUGGGAGACUUGAGUGCAGAAGAGGAGAGUGGAACUCCAUGUGUAGCGGGGAAAUGCGUAGAUAUAUGGAAGAACACCAGUGGCGAAAGCGGCUCUCUGUUCUGUAACUGACGCUGAGGUUCGAAAGCGUGGGUAGCAAACAGGAUUAGAUACCCUUGUAGUC